GCAGGAAGAGCAAGAAAAGCAGGAGGAACAGGAAAACCAGGAACACCAGGAGGAGGAGGAGAAGAAAUAAUGAGUGAUUGUGUCUACAUUUACAGGAAGAGUUUGAUGUGGUAGAAAUGUUGCUUCUUUGGAGAAAUUUGUACUCAAAGAAUUACUCAUGUAGAAUUUCACUGUGCUGUCAUCUGAGACAUCAAGUUCAUUACUGAACCCAUGCUUCCUCUCAGCUUCAUGAGAAGAUCACUACAGAUGCAGAUCACCACACUUAGCUAUUGAUAUUCCUGUCUCCCUGCUAAUAAAAUUUUAUCCAUCCUUGGUUGUGUAGAAGGUUCUAUGCUGCCAACUAGCUCCAAGAUAGGAUAGGGCUAUGGAAAGACAGAUCUAACAGGUGACAUGGCAAUACAUUGCUCUGGACAGCCGCUUGAACUUUCUUGGAACCACUGAGGACAUUUUGUCUGUGUCUUCACUCAGAAAAAGAGAUUCUACUUGUUCUAAUCUUGUACACUCAGAGUCUUGGUUAUGCAGUAAAAUAUAAUAGGCAAGAAGGCCGACCUGAGAGACACUGCUGGAAUAAAUUUGGAGUUGAGUGAGAAAAAGAUGGUAGGCUUACAUCUUUGGCAUUUACCACUAACGUAUUUGCAGAUUACUCCUUGAAACAUCAGGGAAUUAUCAAUGUGGACAAUCAGACUUCUUUUUAUUCUCCUCUCAUCAUACCCUCAAUUCCUGGUACAUGUGUGGUGAAUAGAGGCAGCAGCAGCAUCUGUAAUGAUGACAAUAGCAACAGCAGCAGCCAGAGCAGCAGGAGGAGCAGCACCAACAUAGGAGGAGAAACAAUAAGAGGAGCAGGAGGAGCACGAAGAGCAGGAAUAACAUGAGGACAAAAUAUAUCAGGAGGAGGAGAAAAAGAAAUAAUGAGUGAUUGAGUCUACAUUUAUGGGAAGAGUUGGAUGGGGUAGAAAGCUUCUUUGGAGAUAUUUGUUCUCAAAGAAUUACUCCUGUAGGUUUUAUGCUGCAGACCAACUCCAAGAGGCAACAUGGCCUGAGAAGGACAUAUUUAGCAGAUGCCAUGGAGAUAAAUUGGCAGCAGCUUGAAUUUUUUCUGAGCCACUGAGGAUAUUUUGUCAGUGUCUUCACUCAGAAGAGGAGGCAAUGUUUCCAACGGGCCAUAAGGCAAGGAGACAAACCUAUGAGAGAUUGCUGGAAUAAAUUGUGAACUGAGUGAGAAAAGGAUUCCAGGCUUACCUCUUUAUCACUGACCUCUAACAUAUUUGCUCUCUUCUUGGACCAGUCUCUUGCUGCAGAUUUUGAGAAGGAGUUGUGUUCUGGAAAGCUGCAGAUGAAAAUGAAAAGAAAACAUCAUCAUGGUCAGGUAACUUGCUGUCUUCAGACAGUCCAGAAGAGGGCAUCA